rnacentral:rRNA from 1 species
UACGUAGGGGGCAAGCGUUAUCCGGAUUUACUGGGUGUAAAGGGAGCGUAGACGGCAUGGCAAGUCAGAUGUGAAAGCCCGGGGCUCAACCCCGGGACUGCAUUUGAAACUGUCAGGCUGGAGUGCAGGAGAGGUAAGUGGAAUUCCUAGUGUAGCGGUGAAAUGCGUAGAUAUUAGGAGGAACACCAGUGGCGAAGGCGGCUUACUGGACUGUAACUGACGUUGAGGCUCGAAAGCGUGGGGAGCAAAUAGG